GACGAACGCUGGCGGCGUGCCUAAUACAUGCAAGUAGAACGCUGAAGAGAGGAGCUUGCUCUUCUUGGAAGAGUUGCGAACGGGUGAGUAACGCGUAGGUAACCUGCCUUGUAGCGGGGGAUAACUAUUGGAAACGAUAGCUAAUACCGCAUAACAAUGGGUGACCCAUGUCAUUCAUUUGAAAGGGGCAACUGCUCCACUACAAGAUGGACCUGCGUUGUAUUAGCUAGUAGGUGAGGUAACGGCUCACCUAGGCGACGAUACAUAGCCGACCUGAGAGGGUGAUCGGCCACACUGGGACUGAGACACGGCCCAGACUCCUACGGGAGGCAGCAGUAGGGAAUCUUCGGCAAUGGGGGCAACCCUGACCGAGCAACGCCGCGUGAGUGAAGAAGGUUUUCGGAUCGUAAAGCUCUGUUGUAAGUCAAGAACGAGUGUGAGAGUGGAAAGUUCACACUGUGAC
rnacentral:rRNA from 1 species